CAGGAGAAUCUGAGUUCUCACAGUGACCUUUCUGCCAGCAGCGACAGCCUGUCUGAAAACAAGGAAAAAAAACAAUGGUACAGCGGGAUGUUAAAGAAGAGGUGGAAACCAACACAAAGUCUUCAAACUGAUCAGGACAAUAAAGCAGACAGUAAUUCUGAAGACCUAGAAGAAGAGGAGAAAACAUCAGAGAUGCCUCAUGAAAAGGGAGGCUACUUGUUUGGUUUCCUUAAAAAGCCAAAAAAACCAGCCGCUGAGACGCCAACGCAGGUGA